AUUCAUCAAGUUCUCAAAGUUCUGUGAAAGAAAAUAAUGCAAUGUCCAUAAACUCUGUAAACUCAUCUCCCUCUUCUUUAUCAAAUUAUGCUUGCGAAGAAAGAAAGCAUGCUGUGAAAGAAGAUGAUAGAAAUGAUAGCAAUGAAAAAGAGGAGGACCAGACGACAGCACUUGAUGAUGAAGAGGCAGUGGCUGUCCAAGAGCAAGUUAGACAAAUUAAGGCCCAAGAGGAGGAGUUUGAAACCUUUGACCUCAAAAUUGUGCACAGAAAAAACAGGUAAGAUUUUGACUCAUCAUAGUUUCAUAUAUAGCUGCUCUCUUAUUACUUGUUUUAUAUUGAUCAGAACUGGUUUCGAAGAGGAAAAGAACUUUCACGUGGUUUUAAAUUCGGUCAUUGCUGGGCGGUAUCAUGUCACUGAGUAUCUUGGUUCAGCAGCCUUCAGUAAAGCCAUACAAGCGCAUGACUUGCAGACGGGAAUGGAUGUCUGUAUAAAGAUUAUUAAGAACAACAAAGAUUUCUUUGACCAGAGUCUUGACGAGAUAAAACUUUUGAAGUAUGUCAACAAGCAUGAUCCUGCUGACAAGUACCAUCUUCUACGGUUAUAUGAUUACUUUUACUACCGGGUAAGUGAUCACAUCCUGUUUGUAUAUUUUAUAUUGCUACAAUAUAUCGAAAGAGAAUUGUGUAAAGGGGUCGUUUCCUUAUAAACAAAAGUAGCGUACCAAAGUUCUUAUAUGAAAUGUACUAGGGUCUGUAGAAAACACGUUCCAUCUUUAUGAAGUUCUUCUAUAUUAUCCUUGGGAAUUUUAUGCUAGCAAUGGUUAAGUUUUCCACCGAUUGAACAACUUGUCGUUGGAGCUUAUUUUAGAUUUGUUCAGCAUGGCCUUUAUAAUUAUGCGUAUAGCUCAUGUGAUUCGUUUUAAAAUCAGUUGUUAGUGGAAAUUAUGAGCUCUGCAAUCUGUUUAUUCAUCUCUGGAUUAGUAUCUUUCUCUUCAACAAGUUUACCACACGUAUGAACCAUAUGCCCUUGGUACCCUAUAUGUAAUACUGUGCAAUAUUUCUCUUUGUGGAUUGUUUGGAGUAAUGGAUUCCCUGGCUUUUCUUCGCAGGAGCAUUUGCUAAUUGUAUGUGAACUUCUUAAGGCCAAUCUAUACGAAUUCCACAAAUUUAACAGAGAAUCAGGUGGUGAAGUUUAUUUCACAAUGCCAAGAUUGCAGGUUUGUCCGCUUCAUCAUUACAAUUCGGCAAAGAUACAUAAACAGCCGAUUUCUAAUCUCAUUUGGACCCUUUUUUACAGUCAAUCACAAUCCAGUGUCUCGAAUCACUUCAGUUUUUACAUGGCCUUGGACUUAUACACUGUGAUUUAAAACCUGAGAACAUAUUGGUGAAAAGCUAUAGCAGAUGUGAAAUAAAAGUCAUUGACCUUGGAAGUAGCUGUUUCGAGACGGAUCACUUAUGCUCCUAUGUCCAGUCUAGGUCAUAUCGAGCACCAGAAGUCAUUUUGGGACUUCCUUAUGAUAAAAAGAUAGAUGUGUGGUCUCUUGGGUGCAUUUUGGCUGAACUAUGUACAGGCAACGUAAGUUCUUCACUUCUACUAAUCUGAUGUCAUUGCUUCCUCAUAUCAAUGUAUUUCUCGCAAAAAACAUUUGAAAGAGAAACCACAUUACCACAUCUUUAAUAGCAUAUUAAAUAGUGCAUAGCAUCAAGUGUGGUUUAUUACAUAGGGAAUUGAUUCUCCAGCUAUAAAACAAAUAAAAAUUUCAGAAACUUGUGAAUAAUUACCAACUUUGACUGGAGUUAAUAGGUAGAUGCUUCAUUGAUCUCUCUGGAGUUUAGAAUAAAUAGAUUGUCUGGGUUGGUUGUUGAUUUUCGUGAACAAGAAAGUGAAAUUGUGUUUAUUAUCGAGUUACCUUUGCAGGUUCUUUUCCAGAAUGAUUCUCCAGCCAGUUUGCUUGCAAGGGUAAUGGGAAUCGUAGGAUCUAUCGAUAAUGAAAUGCUUACCAAGGGACGUGAUUCCUACAAAUACUUCACAAAAAACCGAAUGCUCUACGAGCGAAAUCAGGUUAGUUUUUUCCAGAGACCUUAAAAGAACAUUCCAUAAAUCCCAAAAACUAUGGAACGCGUAAUGUUGAAUGGGAUAAGCAAAUGCUAAGAAAGAACAUUCUCUCUCAAAAAUUGGUUUAUUACAGGAAAGCAACAGAUUGGAGUACCUGAUACCUAAAAGAACAUCAUUGAGACAUCGGCUGCCAAUGGGAGACCAAGGAUUCACAGACUUUGUGGCUCACCUUCUUGAGAUAAACCCAAAGAAGCGUCCUUCUGCAGCAGACGCUCUGAAGCACCCUUGGCUUUCGUACCCAUACGAGCCAAUCUCAGCUUAGACCAUUGGUCUCUUACUUGCGCUACUAAAAAAAGGGUGCAAAAACUGCAGGCAGAUUAUUGGAAACCUUAUCUGUGCAAGGGUUCAAACCCCUUUAGGUGGGUGACUGUCACCUGUAAUACAAGUUUGUGGCUGUCUUGCUCAGUCAAAUGUGAGAUGAAGUGAAAAACUUCUGUGAUAUUUUUGAUUAGAAUGUAACACAUGUGUUGUCAAAGUUGUGAUUAUUAGUUAUUCUCUAAGAAGUUAGAACAGAUUAGUAGUAAAAAAAAACUUUUUUUUGUAUCAUCUACUGAUCCUCAGUCCCUUGAUUAUGAAUUUAUGAUUCAAGAUUAAUUUUGCAAUGUAUUAUAUUACUUUUUUUGGUUGCAAUUUUAAUUAUUCAAUCGCUUAAACCGCUUUUCAUGAUUAAUUUUAUCCCGUAUAAAAUGAUGUGUUGAGUAAUGAUUCUGAUUGGUUGAACGAGUAAUAAAACUAUUUUUAGUGAAUACUAAAUACAAUACCAAAACUUUUAAGAAAACCAAAUCAAUCAUAACUACAACAAAAAUUCUACCAAAAAAGGUUCCUUUUGGCUUUGAAGAAUUAUUUUCAAAAUUUAAUAUAUAUAUAUAUAUAUAUAUAUAUAUAUGUUCCAACUGGCUAUUUUUAACUGCUAGCUGUCUAUUGAAUGAUCUAAUUGAUGAUACUUACAGGAGUCUUUUUACAAUAUAGACUAAAAAUAUGUAUAUCUUUUAGCUCAACUAGUGAAAAAAAAAAACAUAACUUUUGAUAUGAAUAAAAGAUUACCUUUAAAUUGAAAUGAAAAUUUCUUCUAAUAAAUAAGGUUAAAAUUUUAAGGAAGCAAUUGGAAUCCGAGUUUUUGGUAAAUCUCAUUUGUAGGUUCCUUUGGAAGAUUUGUUAUCUUUGGUUCGAGUUUAAGCCAAUUUAUUUAUGCUUUUAGUCUAAGAUUUUAAAGUUUCAAUUUUUUAUUGAAUUCGAGUGUUAAUCGUUUCUUACUACUGGAUAGGAUUUUAUUAGUUCUCAAAAAAUUACAUUUUUUAUGACUGUAAUUCGAAAAAAUGUUCAGUAGAACACAAUGUUUGCAAUAUAUAUUGGAAAAGAAAGAACCCUAAUUUAAAUUUAGGAUUUUUAAAUUACCAGUGAAUGUCCGAAAUCAUUACAUUACAUCCAUUGAAACCUGAACCUGUCUUCUCCCUUUGCUUCUUCUUUCUUCGAUUGAUCUGUAAGCAGCGCAUUUUCUCCUUCGCCAUACCUGAAGUUGCAUUUCUCCUUGGAUCCACUUCCACGUCUUUCUCUCCAUUAAUUUUGGUUUUUGCUUCUCUCUUCUCCGGAUCUUCAGCUAUAUCGCAGACUCUUCGAUUGGCGCGUUUGGAGCAUGAUUUCUCAAGAUUUUUAGGGGUUAUUGAAGUUCGCAUCUACCCUUAUGAGCAAGCGUGAGUCUUGUUCACCGGAUAAUCUUCUCUUGGCUUGUUUCUGAAAGCAUUGGUUUUGGGCAGAUUUUGAUUCUCUAUGUUUAGGCUUUUCGUAGAGGGCAUUGCGUAUCUGAACUUUACAAAGUUUUAAUCUUUUUCUGUUGGUGGUAUACAGGACUGGUGGAGUUCUCUUGCCAGUGCUUAUUCUGUAAACUGUAAAAGGUCAUUAAAUGACGGACCAAAGCUCUGUUGAUUGGAUUUUAGAGUUUCUUAGGCAUAAUCGUUUCUCUAAGGCAGAGAAAGCUUUGCGUAAUGAGCUCAAUAACCGCUCUGACAUUAAUGGCUUUCUUCAGAAACUUAAGCUGGAGGAAAAAGAUUCCAAUGAUAAGGCUGCUGGCAAUGAACUUCGGAGGUCAGGUUCUCGAGAUAGUGAAGUCUCCAAGGAGCUGGUUGUGAAAGAGGUAGACUGUGGCACUAGCACCAAUGGGUCUGUAAUCAAAUGGGAAAAUGGUGCGGCUGCUGAGAAUCUGAGCAAGAAGGAACCGGUUGUUGCAAGUGAGAUGAGCUUUACAUUCUCCAAAAAUUCCGGUGAUGCUGCUGCUCCUGAUGAGCAUUCCUAUAAGUUUACUUCCGCAAAUGGUACCUUGGAGCCUUAUCGAAACAUUGAUGAUAAUAGUAGUAGCAGCUUGGUGGAUCCAUAUAUCUUCGAACAACCGAGGCUUGGGGAUUUGGCUGAUAUUGAUAAGAAGAUAGUGGAAACUGGUGAAGAUAUUGUUUUCUUCGGCAAUAAGAGUACUUCAUGGUCUGGAAAUACUAGUAAAGAGAACUCCGGGUCGAAAAUAAAGGAAAAAAAUGAGAGUGCUCGAUUAUCUGAAAAGUUUGGAAAGCAUGACAGUUAUAAGGGUAGCAUUCUUUUAAGAACUGAAGAUAUUGUAGAUACCUCAGAGAACUGGAAAGAUUGUUCUGUUAGUACUCUUUUUCAAUCUUCGCGAGGGGAUGCGUCAACCAGUUACAAUCUGGUUAGCAGCUCGGACAAAAGAGAGGGAAAGAAAAAGGCAGACAUUAGUGAUGUGAGGGAGGCAAUCAAGGAGCAGGAGAGCGAAGUAGCAAGAGCUUUAUUCUUUGGUAAAUCUCAGUCCACUUUUGAUGACAAAAACAUCAGCAGCUUAGGUUUUCCACUUGCCUAUGAUACCCGCAAGGAAGAGUUUCCUAGGCUGCCUCCUGUUAAGCUCAAGUCUGAAGACAAUCCUUUGAGUCUUUACUGUGAAGAAAAAUUUGAACGUAAUGGUUCAGGUACAAGGCUAAUGAAUGAUGAGGAGGCCCUUCUCAUAGGCUCAUACCUUGAUGUUCCCAUUGGACAAGAAAUUAGCUCAUCAGGUUAGCUUACAUGACACUGUAGCCGUACAAAUAUAAAGUUUCCAUUCUUACUGCUAGAUGAUGGUUGUUUUAAGAGAUGGUGCAUGCGGUAUCGUAUUAAUGAUUUUGAACUACCAGCGAGACUUCUAAAGACAUGCAUUUUGCUCAUAUCCUUCAUUCUUAUAGGAACUACUGUAGUUAUCACAUUUCUAUGUGUGAUAUUUUUCUCUGCGAAUCUGCAGAACUUUAAAAAAAUAAAAAAAUAUGAACUCGCAUUAGAACAAUGCAUUGACAAAUUACUGAUAUCAGUUCGAAAGAAAGCAAGUAAUGAUUUGGCUUUAUUCAUGGUAGAGUGUCUGAAAGUGUUUGCUCUCACUGUCUUCCUUUCCUACUCUGCUCUUUGUUUUGAGUUCUGUAAGGACUAUGAUCUUUAUAUUUUUUUGGGUUUUAAAUUCCUAAUGAUUGCAUUUAGGUGGGAAAAAAUCUGCUGGAGGAAACUGGCUUUCAGUAAGUCAGGGAAUAGCAGUGGACGCAUCAGAUCUUGUUUCUGGUUUUGCUACUAUUGGUGAUGGUUUAAGUGAAUCUGUUGACUACCAUAAUGAAUACUGGGAUUCUGACGAGUAUGAGGAUGAUGACGACAUUGGUUAUGUCAGGCAACCUAUUGAAGAUGAAACAUGGUUUCUUGCCCAUGAAAUUGAUUAUCCAAGUGAUCAUGAGAAAGGAACGACCCGCGGAAGUCCUGAUAACCAUGAAAGAGAUGCAAACAAAGAGGAUGAUGAUCACUCUUAUGCAGAAGAGGCUUCUUAUAUAUCAGGUGAACAGUAUCUCCAAGCAAAAGAUGCUGAACCUAUUUCUUCAGCAAAUGACCGAAGGCUUACGGUCUCAGAAAUUUAUCCAGCUAGCAAGAAAAAUGAUUUAAUAGCCCAAUAUGAUGGGCAAUUAAUGGAUGAGGAGUUGCUCAAUUCGAUGCGUGAUGAGCCUCUGUGGCAGGGGUUUGUAGCUCAGUCAAAUGAACUUGUCAUGUUAGGUGAUAAGAAAGGCAUAAAUGUCCAUCGAAAAUCUCAUCUUGAUGAUGUUUGCCUCGAAGAUGAUCAGCAUGAUUCAGUCAGGUCGAUUGGUGUGGGUAUUUAUAGUGAUGCAGCUGAUUUUGGCAGUGAAGUACGUGAAAGUUUGGCUGGAGGUAGCAGUGAGGGUGAUUUUGAAUAUUCUCGUGAUCAUGAUGCUGUAGCAUCUAGGUUUAAACAGCUUUACUCUGAGUCAGAUAAGAAACAUGUUGAUGGGACAAACACGAAUAAACAGAAAGCAAAUAAAAUUGAUGGUCAAGAUUACAUUGUAGAUAAUGAUUCAGGCGCAAGUUUUCAUGUGAAGAUACAAACUGAUGAAGGUUUUUCGUUUGGCUCGUCACAAAAAGAUGGGCAGUUAAUGCAUGCAGAAUCUAGUAAAUCAUUACGGUCAGGCAAUCGCGAAACGGUAACCAGAGAUAGGAACGCGGAACGUUUGAAUGCUUCAACAGCUACGGAUGAUAUGGUUGCAACUUGGAGACGAAAAAGUAGUGAUUCAUCAAGUUCUCGAAGUUCUGUGAAAGAAAAUAAUGCAAUGUCCAUGAAAUCUUUAAACUCAUCUCCCUCUUCGUUAUCAAAUUAUGCUUGCGAAGAAAGAAAGCAUGCUAUGAAAGAAGAUGAUCGAAAUGAUAGCAGUGAAAAAGAGGAGGACCAGACGACAGCACUUGAUGAUGAAGAGGCAGUGGCUGUCCAAGAGCAAGUUAGACAAAUUAAGGCCCAAGAGGAGGAGUUUGAAACCUUUGACCUCAAAAUUGUGCAUAGAAAAAACAGGUAAGAUAUCUCCCCAACUUUUAUGGUUUGGACUAUAACAGUAAGUCCCUUUCUUUUCUUAUUGAAAGAAAGUAGAAAGUUACCUUUUCUCGCUUUUUUCCUGUUUAGGAGAGCUUGUGUUUCUGAGUCUCUGGUUCCUGCAUUCAACCCAGAAACGUGAUGUUAUGUAAAUCUGUGAAUAUAGCA
rnacentral:lncRNA from 1 species